rnacentral:rRNA from 1 species
GAUGAACGCUGGCGGCGUGCCUAACACAUGCAAGUCGAACGGUCUCUUCGGAGAUAGUGGCGGACGGGUGAGUAACGCGUGAGAAUCUGCCUUUAGGUUCGGGACAACAGUUGGAAACGACUGCUAAUACCGAAUGUGUCGCAAGAUGAAAGAUUAAUUGCCUAAAGAUGAGCUCGCGUCUGAUUAGCUAGUUGGUGAGGUAAAAGCUUACCAAGGCGACGAUCAGUAGCUGGUCUGAGAGGAUGAUCAGCCACAUUGGGACUGAGACACGGCCCAA